rnacentral:tRNA from 1 species
UGGAUUGUAACUCAGUGGUAGAGCACUUGCCUAGCAUGCAAGAGGCCUUGAGUUCAAUCCUCCCUAUACAA